UGAAAUAUUAAAGUUGGUAUCUUUUCUCAACGGGAACAAAGGGGAAUUAUGGAUAAUGGAAAUCAAUUUUCAAAGAGAUCAAUGGAGCAUAAUAGUGAAUUUGAAGAAAUGAAUAGGCAAGCAAAAGGGGCCUUUCAUUGAGGUAAAACAAUUGAAUUUUAGACUUCACAUAAGGAGGAAGAAGGAGAAACUUGAUAAACAAAAAUUCUAAAAAGUAUCCUAAGUCAGAGAAGAAAUUUCUAUUAGCUUUGGAGAAAUAUGAACGGUGGUGUGUCAGAAAUUGUUCAGACCUGAUUUUUGGCGUAGUGUUGCUAUGUGGGACCCUAUAUCCGUUAAGGGUCGUCGGGAUAUUCUGUGCAAUUGCAAAAGUGCAAGUCUUUCAGGUCAGAAGAGGAAGGGGAGGUAGAUAAUGAUCGGGAAGGGAUGGAAAUUGUGAGAAAUUUGAAGGAAUGGAAUCAAUUGCCCAAAUGGGGAGUUUAUAAACUUCUGGAUUCUAUUUAAUCUGCAGCUUUAAGUGUUUAUACUUUAAGUUCGGAUGAUAAAUUUAUAGAGAAUUUGGAGGAAAGUUUAUCAGUAAGUGUUUUUUGUUUUGAGAAAAGGGUUGGAAAAAUUGUAACUUUUGAGACUUAUUAUGUUGUAGAACUGUUAUUUACAUUAUGAAAAAUAAAAAAUAUAUAUUUAAAUAAAAAAAACCCUUCAAU
rnacentral:lncRNA from 1 species